CUCAAACUUUUAUAGGCUUUGAUCCCAUAUAUAUAUGAAUUCUUCAAUUUUUCAAUUUUGGAUAUGCUGCUUGAGAUUGUUAUUUGAUCCUCAGCUUGGAUUAUAGGUUUGUUUGCAGAGAGGAACCUUCAUCAAGAUCAAUGGGGAAGCAAUUUGAUAAAAAGAAGAUCACUUGGACGAUUAAAAAUUUCUCCUCUUUACCAGCCGACAUUAUUUAUUCUGAUCCUUUUGUCGUCGGUGGCUGCAAAUGGCAUCUACGGGCCUAUCCCAAGGGAUAUAAUAAUACUAACUGCUUGUCCCUAUUUCUUGGUGUUGUUAAUUCUACUUCUUUGCCUUCCGGAUGGAGAAGACACGCUAAAUUUCGUCUGAUUAUAGUAAAUCAGUUAUCAGAUAAACUUUCUCAGUCAAAACUUAAAGGUAAUAAUUACUUCUCCCCACUUCUAGACAUAAUCAUAAACCCAAAAUAUAUAAUCAUUUAGAUAGGAAGUAACAAUCCUUUUCAUCCCACAUCUUCUUAUCAUUCAGAAGAACGACAGGU